rnacentral:rRNA from 1 species
GAUGAACGCUGGCGGCGUGCCUAAUACAUGCAAGUCGAGCGGACGGACGAGAAGCUUGCGUCUCUGAUGUUAGCGGCGGACGGGUGAGUAACACGUGGAUAACCUACCUAUAAGACUGGGAUAACUUCGGGAAACCGGAGCUAAUACCGGAGAAUAUUUUGAACCGCAUGGUUCAAAAGUGAGAGACGGUGUUGGUGUCACAUAUAGAUGGAUCCGCGCUGCAUUAGCUAGUUGGUAAGGUAACGGCUUACCAAGGCAACGAUGCAUAGCCGACCUGAUAGGGUGGUCGGCCGCACGGGAGCUGGGCCACGGUCCAUACUCCUGCGGUAGGCAGCAGUCGGGAACGUGCCGCAAUGGGCGAAAGCCUUGCGGAGCAGCGCCGCGCCAGUGAUGGCGGUCUUCGGUUCGUAAAACUCUGUUAUUGGGGGUGAACAUAUUUGUCAUUAGCUGUGCCCAUCUUGACGGUACCUAGUCAGAAAGCCCCGGCUAACUACGUG